rnacentral:misc_RNA from 1 species
GAUGAAGAACGCAGCGAAAUGCGAUACGUAAUGUGAAUUGCAGAAUUCAGUGAAUCAUCGAAUCUUUGAACGCACCUUGCACUCUUUGGUAUUCCGAAGAGUAUGUCUGUUUGAGUGUCAUGAAACUCUCAACCCCCUUUGUUUUGUAAUGAAACGAGCGUGGGCUUGGUUUAUGGCGGUUGCCGGCGUAAUAGUCGACUCUGCUGAAAUACACGAGCUACCCAUUUCUGAGAAAUAGACGGUUUGACUCGGCGUAAUAAUAUAUUCCGCUGAGGACGUCACAUUCUCUAACCAGUGGUGCUUCUAAUGCGACAUCUAAACUCUUAAGCUUUAGACCUCAAAUCAGUCAGGACUACCCGCUGAACUUAAGCAUAUCAAUAAGCGGAGGGA